rnacentral:rRNA from 1 species
AGUGAACGCUGGCGGUAGGCCUAACACAUGCAAGUCGAACGGCAGCACAGUAAGAGCUUGCUCUUACGGGUGGCGAGUGGCGGACGGGUGAGGAAUACAUCGGAAUCUACUUUUUCGUGGGGGAUAACGUAGGGAAACUUACGCUAAUACCGCAUACGACCUACGGGUGAAAGCAGGGGAUCUUCGGACCUUGCGCGAUUGAAUGAGCCGAUGUCGGAUUAGCUAGUUGGCGGGGUAAAGGCCCACCAAGGCGACGGUACGUAGCUGGUCUGAGAGGAUGAUCGGCCACACUGGAACUGAGACACGGUCCAGACUCCUACGGGAGGCAGCAGUGGGGAAUAUUGGACAAUGGGCGCAAGCCUGAUCCAGCCAUACCGCGUGGGUGAAGAAGGCCUUCGGGUUGUAAAGCCCUUUUGUUGGGAAAGAAAAGCAGCAGGUUAAAACCCCGCUGUUCUGACGGUACCCAAAGAAUAAGCACCGGCUAACUUCGUG